AUAUUUUAUGGACAUCCCCUAACGAUAAACUUUGUUAGCAAAUCAGUUUAUAAAAAUUGAUAAAAACAGUUUUCAAAUUUGCAUAAAUAACUGCUGAUUUUUUUUAGAUAAUAAAAUAGUCAUUGGCUUCACUAUUUCUGACUGAUUACUGGAAAACUACAUAAAGAGUGUUGAGUUUUUCAGGAAAAAAAGUUUUUUACCAUGCCUAAUUCUAGGAGUUAGGCAUGGAAAUUUAAGCAAAGUAUACGAAGACAUCGUUGAGAACAUCUUGUUCAUAUUCAGACACUAAUAAUAUAAGAACUCCAAACAGCAUUGAGAAAAAGUUUUAAUAUUUUUUGUUUAAAAUCAUAUUUCAGGUUUAACAUUUUCAUGAGCCAAAUCAGGUUUGGGCAAGCGGGGAUGAAAAAUCUAAUGAAAAGUCUCAACCAAAACCAACACACAAGAACAUGUGCAUACAUGGGAUUUCAGUGUCAUCGUUAUACGCUUUCUCAACUGCUAGGCAUGAGGUCAAUCGCCAGCGUGCAUCUUUGGCUCUUAAAACAGUGGGCUUGUAUUUUUUAACCGUAAUAGAGACUUGUGUAACCUGGAUUUUUGAAGUAAAAUAAAAUUUAGAAAAAAACAUAUCUAAA